GGAAGUGCUUGCCGGUCUGGUGACGGCCUGGGGCUUCAAACCCCAUGAGCUCUUGGCGAGAGCCUGGAGUUGGCGGGUUCGAUUCCCGUGCACUUCCGCCA
rnacentral:tRNA from 1 species